rnacentral:lncRNA from 1 species
UGAUGUAUAUUGUUCGCAUUUGUUAUGAUUUUAUUUUUAAAAAACAUCUUAAAAUGAUAAGAGAUAAAAAGAAUAUUUGAAUUCUACUUGAGUUUGAUUUUUAGAUUAUUUGAAACUAUUGAAAAAUCUAAAAGAUGAUAAGAAGAAAGUAUAGUGCAACCGAACGAGAAGCAAAUAGAACAGAUAGAAGGCCAAACAAUGCAACAAGUGG